GACGAACGCUGGCGGCGUGCCUAACACAUGCAAGUCGAACGUGAAGCCGGUGCUUGCACCGGUGGAAAGUGGCGAACGGGUGAGUAACACGUGAGAAACCUACCCCGGAGACCGGGACAACCAUUGGAAACGAUGGCUAAUACCGGAUAUCCCCGGUCAGUCGCAUGGCUGACCGAGGAAAGGCUCUGGCGCUCUGGGAGGGUCUCGCGGCCUAUCAGUUUGUUGGUGGGUAACGGCCUACCAAGACAUCGACGGGUAGCUGGUCUGAGAGGACGAUCAGCCACACUGGGACUGAGACACGGCCCAGACUCCUACGGGAGGCAGCAGUGGGGAAUAUUGCGCAAUGGGCGAAAGCCUGACGCAGCAACGCCGCGUGAGGGAUGACGGCUUUCGGGUUGUAAACCUCUUUCAGUGAUGACGAAAAUGACGGUAGUCACAGAAGAAGGUCCGGCCAACUACGUG
rnacentral:rRNA from 1 species